rnacentral:rRNA from 1 species
UACGUAGGUGGCGAGCGUUGUCCGGAUUUACUGGGCGUAAAGGGCGUCUAGGCGGCCUGAUAAGCGGAGUGUGAAAUCUCUGGGCUUAACCCAGAAAUGCCGUUCCGAACUGUCAGGCUUGAGUGCGGGAGAGGGCAGUGGAAUUCCCGGUGUAGCGGUGAAAUGUUUAGAUAUCGGGAGGAACACCAGUGGCGAAGGCGGCUGCCUGGACCGUUACUGACGCUGAAGCGCGAAAGCUAGGGGAGCGAACGGG